GUCCACACUAUAACAAUGGACACUAGAUAUGGGAGUAUCGACCCUCUCCGUGUCGAAGCUAACGCGUUAAGUGUCCCGUCUGGGAGUACGGCCGCAAGGCUAAACUCAAGGAAUUGACGGGGCCCGCACAAGCAGCGGAGCGUGUGGUUAAUUCGAUGCAAACGAAGAACCUUACCAAGGCUUGACAUGUAAGAAGUAGUGAACCGAAGGGAAUCCAACUGUUAAGUCAGUAGCUUGCACAGGUGCUACAUGGCUGUCGU
rnacentral:rRNA from 1 species